rnacentral:lncRNA from 1 species
GACUACUAGCUAAUUCUAUCAUCCGGACCAUCACUCCGUUCCCCGACUCAUCCCAGCUACGUUCUUAUUUCCUGAAGAGAACAGUGAAAGAAAGGGUGAGCUCAACUAGCCCAGUAAGAAAUAUUAUGACUAAGAUAAUAAAGAAUAAAUUAUCAUUAGUCUCCAGCAAUGUUGAACUGAUAAAAUACAAUAGACAUCAAGUUUAACUGCAGCGGUACAAGCAAUCCAUUAAAAGAG